rnacentral:rRNA from 1 species
GAUGAACGCUGGCGGCGUGCCUAAUACAUGCAAGUCGAGCGAGCGGCGGACGGGUGAGUAGUGUCUGGGCAACUGCCUGAUGGAGGGGGAUAACUACUGGAAACGGUAGCUAAUACCGCAUAACAUCAGAUGUGCCCAGAGGGGAUUAGCUAGUAGGUGGGGUAAUGGCUCACCUAGGCGACGCUCCCUCGCUGGUCUGAGAGGAUGAUCAGCCACACUGGAACUGAGACACGGUCCAGACUCCUACGGGAGGCAGCAGUGGGGAAUAUUGGACAAUGGGCACAAGCCUGAUGCAGCCAUGCCGCGUGUGUGAAGAAGGCCUUCGGGUUGUAAAGCACUUUCAGCGGGGAGGCGUUACUCGCAGAAGAAGCACCGGCUAACUACGUGCCAGCAGCCGCGGUAAUAC